rnacentral:rRNA from 1 species
GAUGAACGCUGGCGGCGUGCCUAAUACAUGCAAGUCGAGCGAACAGACGAGGAGCUUGCUCCUCUGACGUUAGCGGCGGACGGGUGAGUAACACGUGGAUAACCUACCUAUAAGACUGGGAUCACUUCGGGAAACCGGAGCUAAUACCGGAUAAUAUAUUGAACCGCAUGGUUCAAUAGUGAAAGACGGUUUUGCUGUCACUUAUAGAUGGAUCCGCGCCGCAUUAGCUAGUUGGUAAGGUAACGGCUUACCAAGGCAACGAUGCGUAGCCGACCUGAGAGGGGGAUCGGCCACACUGGAGCUGAGACACGGUCCAGACUCCUACGGGAGGCAGCAGUAGGGAAUCUUCCGCAAUGGGCGAAAGCCUGACGGAGCAACGCCGCGUGAGUGAUGAAGGUCUUCGGAUCGUAAAACUCUGUUAUUAGGGAAGAACAAAUGUGUAAGUAACUAUGCACGUCUUGACGGUACCUAAUCAGAAAGCCACGGCUAACUACGUG